rnacentral:tRNA from 1 species
GCCGGUGUGAUGGAAUUGGCAGACGUGCGGGACUCAAAAUCCCGUGGUGGCGACACCGUGCGAGUUCGACCCUCGCCACCGGCA